AGACAGGUACAUGGAUAGGACAGGUUUAGAUAGAUAUGGGCCCAAUGCAGACAGGUGGGACUAGUGUAGAUGGGGC